rnacentral:rRNA from 1 species
CCUACGGGAGGCAGCAGUGGGGAAUAUUGGACAAUGGGGGGAACCCUGAUCCAGCGACGCCGCGUGAGUGAAGAAGUAUUUCGGUAUGAAAAGCUCUAUCAGCAGGGAAGAAAGAAAUGACGGUACCUGACUAAGAAGCCCCGGCUAACUACGUGCCAGCAGCCGCGGUAAUACGUAGGGGGCAAGCGUUAUCCGGAUUUACUGGGUGUAAAGGGAGCGUAGACGGCGAUGCAAGUCUGAAGUGAAAGGCGGGGGCCCAACCCCCGGACUGCUUUGGAAACUGUAUGGCUGGAGUGCAGGAGAGGUAAGUGGAAUGCCUAGUGUAGCGGUGAAAUGCGUAGAUAUUAGGAGGAACACCAGUGGCGAAGGCGGCUUACUGAACUGCCACUGACAUUGAUGCUCGAAAGUGUGGGUAUCAAACAGGAUUAGAUACCCCUGUAGUC